AUUGAACGCUGGCGGCAUGCCUAAUACAUGCAAGUCGAACGGAGCUUCGAACGGGUGGGUAAUGCCUAGGAAUCUGCCUGGUAGUGGCGUAUACCGUCCGGAAACGGACCCUCAUACCGCAUACUUUCAGAUGACCCUCGGUCGUAUUAGCUCGUUGGUGGGGUAACGGCCUACCAAGUCGACGAUCCGUAACUGGUCUGAGAGGAUGAUCAGUCACACUGGAACUGAGACACGGUCCAGACUCCUACGGGAGGCAGCAGUGGGGAAUAUUGGACAAUGGGCGAAAGCCUGAUCCAGCCAUGCCGCGUGUGGGAAGAAGGUCUGCGGAUUGUAAAGCACUGUAAGUUGGGAGGCGUUACCAACAGAAUAAGCACCGGCUAACUACGUGCCAGCAGCCGCGGUAAUUC
rnacentral:rRNA from 1 species